rnacentral:tRNA from 1 species
GGGGAUUUAGCUCAGUGGUAGAGCGCUUGCCUAGCAAGCACAAGGCCCGGGUUCAGUCCCCA